CCCCUCACACACACAAAAAGAAAGACACCAGGGAUGAUACACUUACCUGAAAGAAUGCCCAGCACUAACCGAGCUCUCACACCUGGACACCAGGUUAGCAACUUCCUGACUCUUCAACUGAGUGAUAAACUCGGUGAGUACGGGAUGAUCAGGAAGGAGCUCAACCACCAUUUAGAGUCUUCUAUGGGAAAAUGCACUUUGAGUUACAGUUAAAACACAGUGACGCUAUAGACACAAAUAAGACAGGGAGCGACUUUAAGAAGUUUAUUUAUAAAACGAGGGACAUUUGAAGUUAAUUUUGCACCCAUCUGACAACACGUGCAAGCUCUCUGGCCCUGUCCACUGCCCCUACUGUAACAGGAGACCUGCUCUAGGACCCCCAUCCCCAAAGUGCUGACCUGAGGCCCCUCCCAAGAGCAGCAACUGUAGCUGAUCCAGUUAAACACUCCCCAGACAGCACUUGUAAAACAGGAACUCCAAGUGAUACGUUUUUCUCCCCAAGGGGUUCAAAACAAGAGAUGAGCUGAAAGAUGAAGAUUGUUCUUUCUCCUGAUGCAGAAGAAAUUAAGCCAACACAAAAGCCAACCCAGAGGCCAACAUGUCCUUCCAGUCCAAAGCCGUGUUCAGGUAAUUCUCUAAUCCAUGAAAAAGAGAGAGAGAGAGAGAGAGAGAGAGAACAGGGCUGGUCUUUAAGAGAUGCAAUUUCUCCAGAUGGCACAAAGUAUUUUUAAACGGCCCAGGGCCAGAACUGGGCUAUGGGAGCCUGCCUACGGAAAGGGCUUCUUUCCUAAAUGGGAUCUUUGAUGUUUAUCAAGGCUCGAGCUCCAGCUGAAACUCUUCCCGCAGCGGGAACACUUAUACGGUUUCUCCCCUGUGUGAACUCUCUGAUGCCGAUUAAAGUUUGAUCUCUGAAUAAAACUCUUCUCACAGAUGGGACAUUUAUAGGGUUUCUCCCCUGUGUGGAUCUUCUCAUGAUGACGCAAUCCUGAGAAGUCGCUAAAGCCUUUCCCACAGUAAUCACAUUUACAAGGCUUCUCUCCUGUGUGGAUCCUCUGAUGCUUCACAAAGUCUGAACUCCGCAGAAAGGCUUUUUUGCAGGUGGGGCACUGAAAGUAUGUCUCUCCGGUGUGAGUUCUUUGGUGAAAAACAAGCUGAGAAUUCCUGUAAAACGUUUUCCCACACUCCCUGCAGGUGGGGAGUUUCUGGGCCAUGGGGGCCCUUGGCUGCCCUUUCGGAGAGGCCUCUCUCUUCUCCUCCAGCCACAACAGGGACAGUUCUUCUGGAUGGGGAUUGGCCAAAUGCUGUUUCCCAGAAUUCCUUCCUUGGGGCGAGAGCUGGCCCACUGGCCCCUCACCUUGAAGAUUUUCCAGAGCCUCGGGGAGACUGUCCCCUUCUCCAAAGCAUCUCGGUUCAUCCUCACUGAGGAGGCCACUCAAGGAAGCCUGCGAAGGUGCCUCUCCUGACACUUGGCAGGAGACGUCGGAAGUUUCCUGGCCCCUACAAUUUUCCAAAUUCAGGUUCUCUUUGUCAUUCUCCUGCCUGUCUCCUGGAAGAAAGAAAGAAGAUUUGAAAUUGUUCAAUGUGCACACUCCACCAACUGAGCCAGCCAGGCGACCCCAGCAGUGUGCAUUUGAGGCCCAAGAAAAACAAGUGUAUUAUAUAAGGGUGUUACUUUGAAAAAUGAGUCAUUUUUUUUCUGCUUAUACAUAAAACAUUAAGUUUGAUCACUAAAAACAAUUUGGAGAGAAAAACAGAAAGAAAACCAAAUCAACCUCAAUCAAACCACUCAGAGGUGGCAACCACGAUUAUACUUCUCCUAUGGUGUCUGUUCAAACUAUACAUAUGUAUGUAUGUGAAUGUUUUAUUUUUUCUUUACAUAAUUGAUACCAUACUGUCUACACAGUUCCACACUUGACUUUGUGGCAUUUAAAUUGUAAAUGGCCAGAUUUAUGAAUUCCACAUGGAUUCUCCCAUUUACAGGUAACGUAAAACUUAGGAAAUCCAUUACAAUGUCACUUUACUGUGGCUUUAAUGCACAGAGAGGCUGUCGCAUUGAAGUGGACCCUUGGCCUGGGCCUGAAUGCAGCAUCCAUCCACCUGUGCCUCAUUAACUCGAGUUAACAGUUGAAAUGUCGUUCUUCUCAUAACGUAAGUUUUUGGUUAUUACCACUACAUGAUACAAAUAGUAAAGGCUUUUAUUUUGGUGGCUGAAUUUGUUUCCAACUUUUAUAAAUUACUUUCUUCCCACAGAUCUAAGGUCUUCAAAUUAUCUGCUAGAGACCCCAGGAAUCUGCUAAUGAGGGAGAUCUUGACUUGUUAAUUCACAGAGUCUUACAACACAUUCCUCUCAAAUGACAAAGGCACUGUUGUCUUUAGAGAAGUCUUUAUAAAUAUCAUUUUAAAGCUGAAUAAUGGUCCAUCAUGGAGAUGUCACCAUAAACAUACAAUACUAAGCAUACGAUUUACUGAAGGAAUUCUCCUACUGUGGAAACUGAAGUUGUGUGCUGUGUUUUUGUUACUAUAGAUAAUGCUGCGAUUUUUCUUCAUACAUGUCGGCCCACAUUUCUGACCACUCCAGGUUCCUUGAAGUGUUGCUACCCUGUUACCUGGCCUGAAUGCUGUUUCUGAGGCUCGUGAUGCUGAAUGGUGAAUCCAUCUCCAGAAGGACCAUCCCCUGGAGCUCCACGCCCAACAUGGGGCUCGAACUCAGGACCCAGAGAUUGGGUGGCAUGUUCCACUGACUGAACCAGCUAGACUCAAGUAAGACUCUCAACAUUUACAGAUCUAAUGCUGAUGAAACAUUCUUCCAAGACUCUUGUAUUCUUGCAGUAUUCUUCCAGACAAGUAAUAAUGAUUCAUUUCCCCCAAUUUAUUUUUUUUAUUAAUACCUUGGACUUUUGAUCAGCAGUGAGUACGUGGCUUCUUGAGGUUUAUUCCCCUGCUGACCUGCUUUAACUAUAAGCUAGUCUUCCAUAUGGCCAAACAAACAGUAUACCUGUGCUCUCCUGAUGCUUUUGCCCCCUUGAUAUGAGUCCAGGUCUGGCAGGCCGGCUAACUGUUGUGUCUUUUUUUUUUUUUUAAGAUUUUAUUUAUUUAUUCAUGAGAGACAGAGAGAGAAGCAGAGACAGAGAAGCAGGCUCCAUGCAGGGAGCCCGAUGCGGGACUCCAUCCCGGGACUCGAUCCCAGGACUCCAGGACCACGCUCUGGGCAGAAGGCAGGCACCAAAUGGCCAAGCCACCCAGGCAUCACUAACUUGUUGUGUCUUUAAGACAGGACCAGUCCUUUCUGGUCCUGUUACUUGUUCCCCCAGGAGUCCAGGGCACAUCCCUGUACCCCUGGCUCUGGCAUCAACUUUCCACAGGGUUCCUCACACACUCCCUUCCAAUCCAGCCUGGACAUGCCUACUUCCCUGGCCUCUCUUCCCAUAUAUCCUCUCUUUCAAGAACCAAGAGUAGCAUUUCUUUGCUCUAUGAAAGCAGACUAGCUUUAUAGACUAUCCACAGUCUCUUUCAGGGUAAGAUCUAAUGGGACCAUGCUGGCAGGUGGAUUGAAGGAGGAGGGGGAAAAAAAAAGAAUGAGUAGGGAUAUGUGAACUAUAUAUCACAAAUAAAAUCCCACUGCAGAGGAGCAUAUGAGAAAUCUCUGUACCUUCCACUCAAUUUCCCUAUGAACCUGUAACUGCUCUGGAAAAGAAAAUCUAGUAAAACAAAAAUCCUACUGCAACAACCACUAAAGCAGUGUUUUCAAACUUUUUUGUCUGCCACCCACUGUAAGAAAUAUGUUUAUACUGAAAUACAGAACAUACACACAUAUUUGGAACAAAAAUUUCCUGAAAUGCUACCUAUCCUGACAUCUGAUAGUGUCUAUCUGCAUUCUGGCAUUUUCUACAGUCUUAUCAUUGCAAUUUUUUAAAUGCUGGUUGCAACCUAGAAGAGGAUUUCACAAUACACUGGCCAUGAAACGCAGUUUGAAAAAUAUUGCUCCAAAGGAAUCCUUGUGAAAUAGUAGUACAAUAAACACAUCGGUUAGAAUUAAAAAUCGUCUGUUUCAUUUGAUGCUUGCUGUUUCUGUAGCAUAUCAGCAAAGGAACAUAAUUAAUUUGAUCCCACUGGAGAGAAAGAAUGACUUGUCAUAAAAUUGUCAUCCCUGGUCCUUUUCUUCUUCUAAUUCUAGGAUCUUUUGUCUACGGAGAAGGGUGUGUUGUGGGAUGGAGUGUGCAGGUAUGCAUGACAGCAAAGAUGGGAGUAACAGAGACCAGAUUUACCUUCUCGUCUCAAGCAACUGAAAAAUAGGACAAAAUACAUGACACAAUGGUUUGCAGUCAUCACCUAAGAGGCAGAACAAAGCAGAGAUCCCUCAAAGUGAGGAAACAAAUGAGCCCGUGGAGAUGUUAUUCUCAAAGUCCACAAAGAAGAGGAGAAGGAAGGGAGACAGAAAACUGUCGGAGAAAUACUGGCCAAAAUUUCCCAAAUCUGUUGGAAACCAUGUACCCACAGAUCCAAGAAUCCCAAAGAAUCCCAAGCAAGAAACAUGAAGAAAAUGACUCCAAGGUCCAUCAUAGUCCAACGGUUAAAAACCACUGAAAAAACGUGAAAAGCAAGAAAAAUACAAUACAUGCAGAAGAACAAAGGUAAGAGCAGAGAUGGCAUGAUUCUGUGUUACGUAAGAUUCUGGAAAAUGCAAACUAACAAAUGUAAAAGAAAGCAACUUGUGGUGGCCUCAGGAUCUCAAGAUCGGGGAAGGAGUGAGGGACCACAAAAGGGCAAAAGAAAACCAUUGGGCAUAACAAGUAUGUUUAUCAUCCUGACUGUGGCUGUGGUUUCACACGUGUGUGUCUGUG